rnacentral:rRNA from 1 species
GACGAACGCUGGCGGCGUGCUUAACACAUGCAAGUCGAACGGGCCUGUCUUCUUUUUUGGGGGUGGGUUGAGUGGCGAACGGGUGAGUAUCACGUGAGUAACCUGCCCUUCGGUCCUGGUUAACCGCUUGAAAGGGCGGCUAAUACGGGGUGGUCCGGUUGGUCCGCAUGGGCUGGUCGGGAUAGAUUCACUGUUUUUGGUGUUUCGGCGGGGGAUGGGCUCGCGGCCUAUCAGCUUGUUGGUGGGGUGAUGGCCUACCAAGGCGGUGACGGGUAGCCGGCCUGAGAGGGUGGGCGGCCACACUGGGACUGUGGUACGGCCCAGACUCCUGCGGGAGGCAGCAGUGGGGGGUAUUGCACAAUGGGCGGAAGCCUGAUGCAGCGGCGUCGCGUGAGGGAUGGAGGCCUUCGGGUUGUGAACCUCUGUUUCCGGUGGUGAAGGCCCUGUCCGUGUGGUGGGGUUGACGGUAGCCGGGGAUGAAGCGCCGGCUAACUACGUG